AAAAACUAGAGAUAACUGAGCUGAGAAUUUUGGCCAAAUUGUAUGGUGAAUGGUCUUUUUAUGAUUGUUGAAGCAAGGGCAAGGGCACGAGCAAAAGAAAGAUACUACCUAAUUUGGUUCAACUAUAUAUAUCAUUAUUCAAAGCAAAAUGGUCAGACCAUUCAACCUGAUAAUUUGGCUGUCCAACUUAAAAUGUUUAGAAGAGAUUAGACGAGAGGUACCGACAAGGCUUAGCUAAAAUGCUAGUUGAGGUCUCUCUCCCUCUUUGUCAGACCCAAGUCCGUUAAAAUUUCCUACUGGUGCGGCAACCCUACUAUUACCAUCUUCUUCUAAGAAUCGAAUUACCAUCUUUUUUUUUUUAAUUUUCUUUUUAUAUAAAAUGAAAAUCUGACUCGGUUUUCCAUCUUCCCUCUUUUGCGAGCUCUUCUGGAACCUCUUCGUCAAGGCUUCGUUUUGGAAAAAACUUCCCGAUAUAACCGUACGACCAACUUCCUUCAUUAUUUCUGUAACACAAUAUUCUUUGUGUCUUCUGGACUCGGGUUGAAUCCUUUGUUUCUUUUGCUGAAGGCAACCGGGCAUGUCCCAGAAUGCUAAAGAAUCACAUUUGCCUCCGUAAGGAGAUACGGGGCAGGAUCUGUAGGAAGAGAUAUUUUUCUAAUGUGGCAUAUCACAUGUUCGAUGAAAUUCCUCGAGGAGUUUAUGCUAGGGAAGCAGCUAAGCAACACAUGGAUAGUCUCGGAAAGAAGCCCACAAAGUACACUUUUUGUUCUGCCCUGAACUCUUGUGCGAAGACAUCAAAUUGGUACUUGGGUUUGCAGAUUCAUGCCCAAGUAAUUCAGACAGGGCACGAGGAAAAUUUGUUUAUAAGCAGUGCGCUCGUUGAUGUUUAUGCCAAGUGUGGAGAAUUGGCAGAUGCAUGGAGGGUGUUUGAUAGCAUGAAGAUGCACGAUCAAGUAUCAUGGACCUCAAUCAUAGCUGGAUAUUCACAAAAUGGGGAUGGUAGACAAGCCAUUUUAUUAUUUAAAGAAAUGUUGCUUUCCCAAAUUAGACCUAAUGCUGUUACUUAUGUUGGUGUUAUUAGCGCAUGCAUUGGGCUGGAAUUGGCAUUUGAAUGUUGUAUCUCACUUCAUGCGCAUGUAGUUAAACUUGGCACUGAUCGUAACAGUUUCGUGGUCAGUUCUUUAAUAGAUUGUUACUCCAAAUGUGGGAGAGUUGAGCAAGCUGUAUUGCUAUUUGAUGCAAGGGCUGAAAAGGAUAUUGUCCUUCUCAAUUCUAUGAUCUCAGGAUAUUCUCAGAACCUAUUUGGCGAAGAAGCCCUAAAACUGUUUAUUCAAAUGCAGAAAUACAGUAUAAGUCCAACGGAUCAUACUUUAACCAGCAUUCUGAAUGCUUGUGGGUGCUUAGCUGUCCUCCAGCAAGGAAGACAGUUUCAUGCUUUGGUAAUAAAAAUGGGCUCGACUUGCAAUGUGUUUGUUGCGUGUUCAUUAAUAGACAUGUACUCCAAAUGCGGUAGCAUUGACGAAGCCCGUUGUGUUUUUGAUCAAGCGGUUAAGAAGAACAGUGUCUUGUGGACUUCAAUGAUAUCGGGGUAUACUCAAUGCGGAAGAGGUUCCUGUGGGUUGGAGCUUUUUGAUUAUUUGGUGACUAAAGAAGGACUCAUGCCUGACCAUGUUUGUUUGACGGCUGUCUUGAGUGCCUGCAAUCAUGCUGGAUUUCUUGACAGAGGGAUUGAUUAUUUCAAUAGAAUGAGAAGAGAUUAUGGUCUGAUUCCUGACCUAGACCAAUAUGCUUGUGUGAUUGACCUCUAUGCAAGGCAGGGGCAUCUUAAAAAAGCCAAGGGGUUGAUGGAGGAAAUGCCCUUUCGUCCAAACUCUGUAAUUUGGAGUUCGUUCUUGCAUUCUUGCAAAGUGUACGGUGAAAUAGAACUUGGGAAGCAAGCUGCAUUACAGCUAUUUAAGAUGGAACCGCAGAAUGCUGUUCCAUACAUAACACUGGCUAGUAUUUAUGCAGGAGCAGGUUUAUGGAGUGAAGUGGCUAAGACUAGGAAAUUGUUGAAUUUGAAAGAAAUGAAGAAAAAUACAGGAUGGAGUUGGGUUGAGAUAGGAAAGGAGGUUCAUUUGUUCUCCGUGGGUGAUAUAUCUCACCCUCAAUCACCAGAAAUCUAUGUGGAGCUGGAAAAGCUGAACUCGGAAAUGAGGGAGGUUGGGUGUAUAUUAGAGCGUGGAGAGAACGUUGACACUGAGUGUUUAUUAGAAGAGAAGAGAAACUUGGAGCAAUUUUAUCAGUGAGCAAGAAAGAUCUUGGUUGUUGAAUUCAACAGAAGCACAUUCAGGACUUAGACGCUUCACCAAAAGAACAACUCAUCAUCCAAUUUUGUUUGCUUAGACCCGUUGCUUAAUUUUGGAAUAAUGGACUUGGAAUGUUUGGAUCCACUAUUCAAGUUUGACCAACUUGGACCGGUGACAAUAUACCGUUUGGUCUGAAAUUAGGUGAUCCUAAUACAUCUCAGGCAAGACUUGGUUGAUCAUGCUUGCUUAUGCCAGCACUUGAGUUGUUAACUUCUUAUAUGAGUUGAUUUGGGUAUGCAUCUUUCGCAAAUUUAUUUAUCUCAGGUAUUUAAUAUAUAUACAUUUUUUUUUAUAACUAAUAUAUAUUUAUAUUAGACUUGUUGAAAAUCAUUUCAAAUCAUAUUAUGGAAAAUUCAUAAAAUGGGAAAUUAGUCUUCUGUCAUAUGCCAUGUCUAUUGUUUAUGACCAUAUGUCCAUGGGGCAAGUUUUGUCUAUAUUUGCUUUGGUUAAGGUGCCUUUUUUUUUUUGGUUUUGGAUUUGUUUGGUUAGAAUGUUUUGUUGCUAGGGGAUAAACCUUGAUGUGUUUGUGCCUCUGUUCGUAUGUCUUGGUUAAUAGAUAAAAAUAUGUGAGCAUAUGGAUAGCGGUAGUCACAGACUUACAAUCUAAUGUUGUCCGCAGAGUUAAAAGAACAGUUACUAGAUGUAACCAAUACAAUAUCUAAAUUUGAAAGAGGAAGCAAUUACAACCAAAUGGUGGCAAUUACCUAGGAAAGCCUCCACAACCUGUGACAUAGAGAAGUUGGUAGCCUAAUUUCAUUCGUUCAAACCAUUCAAUUAGUUUGCUUAGUUUUAUCUCUUGUUUGGUGCUUG